GCUGGGUGUGGUGGCGUGCGCCUGUAAUCCAAGCUUCAUGGAGGCUGAGGCUGGAGGAUGGUUGGAGCUCAGGAGCUCUGAGCUGCAGUGGACUAUGCUGAUCGGGUGUCCGCACUCUGUUCCGUAUCAAUAUGGUCUUCCUGGGGGAGCCCGGGACAACCAGGUCGUCUAAGGAGGGGUGAAUCGACCCAGGUCGGAAACGGAGCAGGUCAAAGCCCGCGUGCUGUUCAGUCGUGGGAUCACACCUGAGAGUAGAUGCUGAAGUUCAGCCUGAGCAACACACUGAGACUCAGCCUUUU
rfam:Oryzias latipes DNA, chromosome9, strain: Hd-rR.